rnacentral:rRNA from 1 species
AUACGGAGGGUGCAAGCGUUGUUCGGAAUUAUUGGGCGUAAAGCGGAUGUAGGCGGUUUGUUAAGUCGGAUGUGAAAUCCCUGGGCUCAACCCAGGAACUGCAUUCGAUACUGGCAAACUAGAGUCUCGGAGGGGGUGGCGGAAUUCCCGGUGUAGAGGUGAAAUUCGUAGAUAUCGGGAGGAACACCAGUGGCGAAGGCGGCCACCUGGACGAUGACUGACGCUCAGAUCCGAAAGCGUGGGGAGCAAACAGAAUUAGAAACCCUAGUAGUCC